rnacentral:tRNA from 1 species
AGGAUAAUAGUUUAAUUUAACAACAUUUAAUUUGCAUUUAAAAAAUAUUGAUAUACCAAUUUAUCUU